rnacentral:lncRNA from 1 species
CUGGUUGAAAUGUCUGCUCCAACUGAGGUAUGGGGUGUUCCAAUGGGUAAUAUGGGCCGCGCCAUGGUGGCAAGUUUUUGAAUUCGUGUAAAGUUAACUCGUAUCCCAGUCUGAAGGUAGUACCGUGUUUCUUCAACUGGAUAGGUUUGGUGAUACCUUGAAUAUUCUUACCAAGUCCUUCCCUUGUUCAUACCCACUCCAACUAAGAAUGCUCUCAACCUUAUUACUCCACAAUUUUUCCUUGUCCACUGCGUUGAC